GACGAACGCUGGCGGCGUGCUUAACACAUGCAAGUCGAACGGAAAGGCCCUGCUUUUGUGGGGUGCUCGAGUGGCGAACGGGUGAGUAACACGUGAGUAACCUGCCCUUGACUUUGGGAUAACUUCAGGAAACUGGGGCUAAUACCGGAUAGGAGCUCCUGCUGCAUGGUGGGGGUUGGAAAGUUUCGGCGGUUGGGGAUGGGCUCGCGGCUUAUCAGCUUGUUGGUGGGGUGGUGGCUUACCAAGGCUUUGACGGGUAGCCGGCCUGAGAGGGUGACCGGCCACAUUGGGACUGAGAUACGGCCCAGACUCCUACGGGAGGCAGCAGUGGGGAAUAUUGCACAAUGGGCGGAAGCCUGAUGCAGCAACGCCGCGUGCGGGAUGACGGCCUUCGGGUUGUAAACCGCUUUCGCCUGUGACGAAGCGUGAGUGACGGUAAUGGGUAAAGAAGCACCGGCUAACUACGUG
rnacentral:rRNA from 1 species